CUCGCAGCCUAGCCAAUCAAAGCUACAGGUUGAGUGACGUCACUCCGCUGAAAGUCCUCGCUAAUUCCCGUACUCCUUUUCUCCGCCCUGCACCUCUACUAUUUGUUACAAGUGGCCAGCAGCCAUUUUGGAUUUGGGCGGAAAUGAAAGUAAAACUGUGCUGUUAAAAGCUUAAAACUUCAAGUCAAGACAAACUUGAGCAUUCGACAAAAACGUCUAGAAAGGGGAUAUCUUGGUGGACUAACUAGACCAUUAGGGCAGUGAGUGACAAGCGGGGACGUCACGGCGCCCACACUCAAGAUGGCACUGGCCUGAGACUCACCUGUGCGGCCGCUCUACCUCGGUUCCUGGUUCAUUGGCCUCAGCGGUGGCGUCGGAGGGAGGAAGGCGGGCCUUCUGUCCCGUUUCCGGACCCGUCUCUAUGGUGUGGGAGAAACCCGGCCCCCAGAAGAUUGUGGGUGUAGUGGCCACAGCCUUACAGGCAGGCAGGGGUGGUUGGUGUCAACACGGGGGCCAACAGGGGACCAGAGCCAAGACCCUCGGCCUCCUCCCCCGCCGCCCUGCCGCAGAUCUGCUUGGCUUUGAGGAAGAGUGGCAGUACUGCCUCACUGCAUAAGGGAUGGGAUCAGAGAACAGUGCUUUAAAGAGCUAUACACUGAAAGAACCACCAUUUAUCUUACCCUCUGGACUUGCUGUUUAUCCCGCUGUACUGCAAGAUGGCAAAUUUGCUUCAGUUUUUGUGUAUAAGAGAGAAAAUGAAGACAAGGUUAAUAAAGCUGCCAAGGUACCAUAAUAGGUGACGACUUAAUACAUUUGAAGACACUUCGUCACCCUUGCUUGCUAAGAUUUUUAUCUUGUACUGUGGAAGCGGAUGGCAUUCAUCUUGUCACUGAGCGAGUACAGCCCCUGGAAGUGGCUUUGGAAACAUUGUCUUCUGCAGAGGUCUGUGCUGGGAUCUAUGACAUAUUGCUGGCUCUUAUCUUUCUUCAUGACAGAGGACAACUAACGCACAAUAAUGUCUGUUUAUCAUCUGUGUUUGUGAGUGAAGAUGGGCACUGGAAACUAGGAGCAAUGGAAACUGUUUGCAAAAUUUCUCAGGCCACACCAGAGUUUCUGAGGAGCAUUCAGUCAAUAAGAGACCCAGCAUCUAUCCCUCCUGAAGAGAUGUCUCCAGAAUUCACAACUCUCCCAGAGUGUCAUGGACAUGCCCGCGAUGCCUUUUCAUUUGGAACAUUGGUGGAAAGUUUGCUCACAAUCUUAAAUGAACAGGUUUCAGCGGAUGUUCUCUCCAGCUUUCAACAGACCUUGCACUCAACUUUGCUGAAUCCCAUUCCAAACUGUCGGCCAGCGCUCUGCACCUUACUAUCUCAUGAGUUCUUCAGAAAUGAUUUUCUGGAAGUUGUGAAUUUCUUGAAAAGUUUAACAUUGAAGAGUGAAGAGGAAAAAACGGAAUUCUUUAAAUUUCUGCUGGACAGAGUCAGCUGCUUGUCAGAGGAAUUGAUAGCUUCAAGGUUGGUGCCUCUUCUGCUUAAUCAGUUGGUGUUUGCAGAGCCAGUGGCUGUUAAGAGUUUUCUUCCUCAUCUGCUUGGCCCCAAAAAAGAUCAUGCGCAGGGAGAAACUCCUUGCUUGCUCUCACCAGCCCUGUUCCGGUCACGGGUGAUCCCCGUGCUUCUCCAGUUGUUCGAAGUUCACGAAGAGCAUGUGCGGAUGGUGCUGCUGUCUCACAUCGAGGCCUACGUGGAGCACUUCACUCAGGAGCAGCUGAAGAAAGUCAUCUUGCCACAGGUUUUGCUGGGCCUGCGUGAUACUAGCGAUUCCAUUGUGGCAAUUACUCUGCAUAGCCUAGCAGUGCUGGUCUCCCUACUUGGACCAGAGGUGGUUGUGGGAGGAGAACGAACCAAGAUCUUCAAACGCACUGCCCCAAGUUUUACUAAAAAUAUUGACCUUUCUCUGGAAGAUUCUUCUAUGCGUGUCGUCUGCAGCAAGCACAGUCAGAUCUCGCCAGUCUUGGAGAACCCCUUCUCUAGCAUAUUCCCUAAAUGUUUCUUUUCUGGCAGCAUGCCCAUCAACAGCAAGAAGCACAUACAGCGAGAUUACUACAAUACUCUUUUACAGACAGGCGAUCCAUUUUCUCAGCCUAUUAAAUUUCCCAUAAAUGGACUUUCGGAUGUAAAAAAUACUUUGGAGGACAGUAAAAACUUCCCAUCAAGUUCUAAAAAGUCUGAGGAGUGGCCUGACUGGAGUGAGCCUGAGGAGCCUGAAAAUCAAACUGUCAACAUACAGAUUUGGCCUAGAGAACCAUGUGAUGCUGUCAAGUCCCAGUGCACUACCUUGGAUAUGGAGGAGUCAUCUUGGGAUGACUGCGAGCCCAGCAAUUUAGAUACUAAAGUAAACCCAGGAGGUGGAAUCACUGCUACAAAAUCUGUUACCUCAGGGGAGCAGAAGCCCAUUCCUGCUUUGCUUCCACUCACUGAAGAGUCUAUGCCUUGGAAAUCAAGCCUACCCCAAAAGACUAGUCUUGUACAAAGCGGGGAUGACCCAGACCAAAUCAAGCCGCCAAAAGUGUCAUCACAAGAAAGGCCCCUUAAGGUUCCAUCAGAACUUGGUUUAGGAGAGGAAUUUACCAUUCAAGUAAAAAAGAAGCCAGUAAAAGAUCCUGAGAUGGAUUGGUUUGCUGAUAUGAUCCCAGAAAUUAAGCCUUCUGCUGCUUUUCUUAUAUUACCUGAACUGAGGACAGAAAUGGUCCCUAAAAAGGAUGAAGUCUCCCCAGUGAUGCAGUUUUCCUCAAAAUUUGCUGCAGCAGAAAUUACUGAGGGAGAGGCUGAAGGCUGGGAAGAAGAAGGGGAGCUGAACUGGGAAGAUAAUAACUGGUGACAACAGAUGUGAGUUAAACUUUAGGAAAAAGGAUUCCCUUUUUUAAAAAAAAAAAAAAAAAAAAAAAGAAUACCUCAAAAGCAGGCUUUGGGACAAGAAAACCCCGAAGUGGCCUGCUUUUCCCAUCCCAGGAGCUCAUUAUCCAGUCUGCACCAACAGAAAUAUGAGACUGACUGCGAGUGCUGGCUAAAAGCCCUGGGGGUGAGGCUCACAGUACUGGUUUCCAGGAGGAAGAGCCUUUGUGCAUUUGACUGAGGCCAGUAGCUGAAGAGAGGUCAAAUUUACUGCUUUUUCCAGGACAAUUCUGGAAAUAAAGAAAAUGUAAGAAUUCAAGCUGGUUAGCUUAAUUUUGUGCCAUUUCUUUAACAUAAGAGUAAGCUCUAUUAUGAAAUACAACUUAAAAAAAUUUUAGCUAUAAAUUAUAUAAAUGAUUUUAAAUUGCUGAGGUUUCCUUAGGCAGCUUAUUUAUUUGUUUACAGUUAUACUAUCUGAGUAAAUGGUUCUUUGUGGACCUGGGCAGUUCCUGACUGUUCCACAUGUAGUACAUUGUACCAAAGUUCUUAAUGAGAAUAUUCCCCACAAUCCUGUUCUCUAAAUGUCAAAUAAAGAUUAUUUUCACUAGAUUCAACUUUACAAAAUUUGUUUUAUAUCUGUUUGUUAGAAAAUGUACAGACAUAAGUUUCACCCUAGAGUAUGUAUAUAACGUUUUAGCUUAUCCAUCCUUUCAUGGAGCGCCUCCAUUUCCAUUAAAAGCCAGGCCGGAGCAGGACCCUUUUGGAGUAGUGACUCAGUUGCUUCCAAGGCCCCUGCUAUUGUGUGCAGCGCUGACCUGUACUCUUCUUCCCAGGGGAACUCUUGACGAGCUCUUUUUGCAUAAGGCUGGGAAAAAAAACAUAAUACCAUAAAUAUAAAGAACCUUCCCAUUGGACUGGAAAAAAGUUACGUGCAAAUUUUAUUCUAGUCAUUGGAUCACAAAGAGAUUCUAGUUCUCCCAAAGUACGACUGCUGCUCAGCCAUUUCCUGCAUUCUGCUGUGCCUACCGUGGAGACCUCAUGGACAGUUUGUUUCCUAAGCUCAGCAGGUAACGCCUGGAAGGAAAUAUGCUGCCAGAGAGGCAGAUUUUCUGCUUCUUUUGGGGAAAAUUUAUGGAUAAACUCCAGCUGAAAUAAAUUGUUAAAGAAAGAAGAGUAUUAUGAGACAAGUCAGAGGAAUGGAUACACAAAAGCUAAGUAUUUGUUUCCACAUUUAAUAUUUCAAGAAAGCUUUUUAAUAGUACCGUAAUAUCUAUGUUCCAGACCAAGGUAACAUAAAUGAACAUACCUUAUUAUUAUUGUUGUCGACACUGCACUGGUUUCCAAAACAAAAACACGGCUUAAGUGGAGCACGAUAUAAAUGCACUAAGCCAUUAAAUAAUGUAUUUCAUUAUUAGUUAUGUCAGGUAUCUUAUCAUGCUCCUACUUACCAAUAAGUCUUAUUUUUCUGUAUACUCCUCACCUUGUAGUUAAGUCAAAAGUAACAUUCCAAAUAUACAAACUGGAUUUAGUCAACCUUCAUAGCUUACUAUUAUCUCACUUGAUUCAUAGCAGAGAACUUAAAGAAGCAAAGAUUCAGCUUUAAACAGUUAGCUGGUUCUGCCCUACUUUAGACAACACACUAAAUCAGUUUCACAAAGGUAAGCCACAAAUCAAAAAGAAUGUGGUUGGCAAAUCCAUUCCACCACUGAAAUAACAAUUCAAAGUGCUUACUAGGUUAACAGAAAAGUACUGUUUUGUUAAAAUGCAGAUGUUACAGACUAGAUACAAAUGGAAAACAAGAGUUCUAAGAAACAGUUUAAAUGAUGAAUCAGUUUUUGGUGGAAAAAUGGUAAAACCAAUGGUGCAUUUAAUGAUUAAAAUAAGUAUAAUCCAACUAGGAAGUAUAUUAGUGUAUUUUCUAAGAAGUAGAAUAAUUCAAUUUAAAAUAUUCAAAAUCUACUUGAUGAAAACUUUUCCUACACCAAAAACUAAAAACCCACCAAAAAAAAUUAAAUCUGACAGAGAAACUUUUCUCUGUCAUAUAUAGUAUAUAGUCAUAUACUAUAUUUGUAUUUCAAUUUUACUUCUUUUGUGGAAAAUAUUUACCUGUCAAUACAAGCUAGAAAUUAUGUGGCUAUAUGCUGUGACAGAGGCUACAGCCAGAAAAACAGAUCCCUUGAUGAGCGAGUGUCUAUUAUAAAAAGCAGCUUUAUUCAUAAAAGCAAACUACAUCAGGAAAGCCAAGAGAACUGUGCCAACUGGUAAGCAUCAGUUCAAGUAUCACCUUUCUUUAAAAUAAAGUCCAGUAAGUGAGUGAACUACUUCCCUUUCCAAAAUAGAAACUAAAAAUAUAAUGUCCUGGACGACAUAAAAGGGUAGGUACUGCCAAAAUUUGUUACAGAAAGAGUUCAAGAUUCUAUUCUGAGGUUGAAAACCCUGGUUUCAACACAAUUCUAAAGACUUAAAACUGCUAUGACAAAAUAGUUCAUAGAAGACUAAAGUAUAAGGGAAUAAUACACAGAGAAUUAUGAUUUCCCUUCUUAAAAUUGGAAAGAGAAAAAAUACACUUUUGGGUUUAAAAUGUAAAUGCAGUAAUUUUUACUUUACAUUAAAAAGACAGUACAAACUAUCAGUGUGCUUAGAUAAGGCAUAUUAAAUACUUUUCCCUCAAGCAGGUAACCUCCUUGUAUUUUUGCUUUUCUUGAUAAAAUGGAAUACUAUUAAUAGUUACAUACUAAAAGAAAUAAUGUGAUAUUCAAUAAUUACCCCUCAUAUUAAAACAGUAAAUGCAUUCUAACAUCUAUUUCUAUCGGCAUUUUCUUCCAAAUUAGCAUCAUAGACACUUUUGUUUUUUAAAGUAUAUUAUCACCAUACUGGGAUUAACUAUUUUCAUUUAUGUUAAGGCUACAUCACUAGUAAAAAAAAUUUGGGUUCUUAUUUUACUAUUUAAAAAGACAACAUCUUGUAUGCAAAUAGCUGAAUAAUUAUUUCAAGUUUCAUUGCUCGCUUCUCCUUUUUUCUCUAAUAUGCUUUAUUGCCUUUGCUUCUCUAGUCCCACCACCUUCCACAUUCAUCCUGUAACACGUACCUCAAAUGCCAUCAACUCCAACUCCUAUGUCUACCUGUUCCCAUGCUGCACCUCUUCAGAAAUGACUGUCUCAGCUACGAACACCCAACAACAUUUGAUUUGUGCCUCAGUUUUGGCAUUCAUCACAAACCACUCUUUAAUAUGAGUAUCUUUAUAAAUUUAUAGUUUAUACUAGAUUUUAUGUUCCUUGAGAUAUCAUGAGAUAGUGCAGUGGUUUCCAAGCUGUAAAGAGAGUCCUGCUAUGUUGUCCAGGCUGGACUUGAACUUUGGGCUAAAUAAAACGAUCCUCCGAUCCUCCUGCCUCAACAUCCCAGAUCAGCUGUUAGCUGUGAAUUUGUGGAAGUUAUUUAAUUUCCUUGAGCUACUGUUUCUUCAUCUGUCAAAUGGACACAAUAUUAUCUAUCCCACAAGGCUACUGUAAGGAUUAAAUGAAUUAAGUGCCUGGCCUGGUACAGUCUCAAAAAUAUUAUUUCCUGUCCUCCUUCCUUUAAGAGAAAGGAUAAUGUCUUAAGGGGUUAAAAAAAAAAAAAAAAAAAAAAA